rnacentral:rRNA from 1 species
UACGUAGGGGGCAAGCGUUGUCCGGAAUCAUUGGGCGUAAAGCGCGUGUAGGCGGUCCGGUAAGUCCGCUGUGAAAGUCGGGGGCUCAACCCUCGAAUGCCGGUGGAUACUGUCGGGCUAGAGUGCGGAAGAGGCGAGUGGAAUUCCUGGUGUAGCGGUGAAAUGCGCAGAUAUCGGGAGGAAUACCGAUGGCGAAGGCAGGUCUCUGGGCUGACACUGACGCUAAUGCACGAAAGCGUGGGGAGCAAACAGG